UCUGUGAUGCCCUUAGAUGUCCUGGGCCGCACGCGCGCUACACUGAUGCAUGCAACGAGUUUUUUUUCCUGGGUCGAGAGGCCCGGGUAAUCUGUUGAACGUGCAUCGUGAUAGGGAUAGAUCAUUGCAAUUAUUGAUCUUGAACGAGGAAUUCCUAGUAAACGCGAGUCAUCAGCUCGCAUUGAUUACGUCCCUGCCCUUUGUACACACCGCCCGUCGCACCUACCGAUUGAAUCAUUCGGUGAGGAUUCCGGAUUCCGUAGCUUACGCUUUGCGGCGUUUUUUAUGAAAGAAGUUAUCCAAACCUCAUGAUUUAGAGGAAGGUGAAGUCGUAACAAGGUUUCCGUAGGUGAACCUGCGGAAGGAUCA
rnacentral:rRNA from 1 species